UACGUAGGGUGCAAGCGUUAAUCGGAAUUACUGGGCGUAAAGCGUGCGCAGGCGGCUAUGCAAGACAGAUGUGAAAUCCCCGGGCUCAACCUGGGAACUGCAUUUGUGACUGCAUAGCUAGAGUACGGUAGAGGGGGAUGGAAUUCCGCGUGUAGCAGUGAAAUGCGUAGAUAUGCGGAGGAACACCGAUGGCGAAGGCAAUCCCCUGGACCUGUACUGACGCUCAUGCACGAAAGGCGUGGGGAGCAAACAGGAUUAGAAUACCCUU
rnacentral:rRNA from 1 species